GACGAACGCUGGCGGCGUGCCUAAUACAUGCAAGUCGAACGCAGUGGGGACGGGUGAGUAACACGUGGGUAACCUCCCAUCAGAGGGGAUAACACUUGGAAACAGGUGCUAAACCGAUACUGAUGGAUGGUCCCGCGGGGCAUUAGCUAGUGGGGGGGGAAACGGCUUACCAAGGCCACGAUGCAUAGCCGGCCUGAGAGGGUGAUCGGCCAAACGGGGACUGAGACACGGCCCAGACUCCUACGGGAGGCAGCAGUAGGGAAUCUUCGGCAAUGGACGAAAGUCUGACGGAGCAACGCCGCGUGAGUGAAGAAGGUUUUCGGAUCGUAAAACUCUGUUAUUAGGGAAGCGGUACCUAACCAGAAAGCAACGGCUAACUACGUGCCAGCAGCCGCGGUAAUUC
rnacentral:rRNA from 1 species